GGGUAGAGCACUGUUUCGGCUAGGGGGCCAUCCCGGCUUACCAACCCGAUGCAAACUGCGAAUACCGGAGAAUGUUAUCACGGGAGACACACGGCGGGUGCUAACGUCCGUCGUGAAGAGGGAAACAACCCAGACCGCCAGCUAAGGUCCCAAAGUCAUGGUUAAGUGGGAAACGAUGUGGGAAGGCCCAGACAGCCAGGAUGUUGGCUUAGAAGCAGCCAUCAUUUAAAGAAAGCGUAAUAGCUCACUGGUCGAGUCGGCCUGCGCGGAAGAUGUAACGGGGCUAAACCAUGCACCGAAGCUGCGGCAGCGAACGUAUCACUUAAAGCGAUUCAGCGGGUUACGAUUGACGGAGCGAAGCGACGUCAAAGCGUAUACAAAGUCGAGUCGGUUUAAGGAUACGUUCGUUGGGUAGGGGAGCGUUCUGUAAGCCUGUGAAGGUGGCCUGUGAGGGUUGCUGGAGGUAUCAGAAGUGCGAAUGCUGACAUAAGUAACGAUAAAGCGGGUGAAAAGCCCGCUCGCCGGAAGACCAAGGGUUCCUGUCCAACGUUAAUCGGGGCAGGGUGAGUCGACCCCUAAGGCGAGGCCGAAAGGCGUAGUCGAUGGGAAACAGGUUAAUAUUCCUGUACUUGGUGUUACUGCGAAGGGGGGACGGAGAAGGCUAUGUUGGCCGGGCGACGGUUGUCCCGGUUUAAGCGUGUAGGCUGGUUUUCCAGGCAAAUCCGGAAAAUCAAGGCUGAGGCGUGAUGACGAGGCACUACGGUGCUGAAGCAACAAAUGCCCUGCUUCCAGGAAAAGCCUCUAAGCAUCAGGUAACAUCAAAUCGUACCCCAAACCGACACAGGUGGUCAGGUAGAGAAUACCAAGGCGCUUGAGAGAACUCGGGUGAAGGAACUAGGCAAAAUGGUGCCGUAACUUCGGGAGAAGGCACGCUGACACGUAGGUGAAGUGAUUUACUCA
rnacentral:rRNA from 1 species